GGAUGUGAGGGUGAUCUGGCUGCGACAUCUGCCUCCCCAUUGAUCGUCAGGGUUGAUUCGGCUGAUCUGGCUGGCCAGGCGGGUGUCCCCUUCCUCACUGCUCCAUGCGUCCCUCCUGAAGCUGCAUGCUCGGUCUAAGAGGACGGCCUUCCCCGAAUAGAGACGACCGGUCUUCGGUCAAGGGUAUAGGAGUAGCUGCACUCCCCUGACAGAACCUCCAAACAAUCUCUCAAGAGUGCUUAGGUACUAUAGAUUGCCUCUCUUUGUCUCUCUCUCCAUUCCCCACUGUG
rnacentral:snRNA from 1 species